rnacentral:lncRNA from 1 species
CUGUAUCCGGAUGGAGAAUCUGUGUGAAAAUACUUCGACGUUGGGAGCAGACUUGCUUCUUCGGUGAAACAGUAGAGAUGGUUUUGUGCGAUGAACAAGUAAUUAUUUAUUUAUUUGUACUAAUUGGUCAUAUAUUCUAAUAUUUUAUAUUUGCUCAUUACAAUAUAUUUGGUUUGUGAAUUAUGAUACACAAUUUAACUUCUUAGCAGGGAUUUCGAAUUGCUGCAACAGUUAUGCCAAAUGAGACCAAGAAGUUUGGAAAAGACUUGGUCCAGGGGUGUUGGUUCAUACUAUGGGGUUUUAAUGUUAAAGAGGCAACAGGACCUCUUCGUCCAACUUCGCAUCCAUAUAGGAUCGAGUUUCUCAGCUAUACUAUUCUGACUUCUACAAGACCGAGAUCGCAUAGCCUUUUUCUCCAGCCAUCCAAUUUCUUUGAUAUAAUUACCCGAUCCUUGGAACCUGAAUACUUGAUUG